UAUGUGAUCGUCUCUCGCAUAUCAAUAAGCGGAGGAAAAGAAACUAACAAGGAUUCCCCUAGUAACGGCGAGUGAAGCGGGAAGAGCUCAAAUUUGAAAUCUUAAAGGGUUUCCCUUUACGAAUUGUAGUUUAAAGAAGUGUUUUCUGUUGAGGUUUUGGUAAAAGUUCUUUGGAAUAGGACAUCAUAGAGGGUGAGAAUCCCGUAUUUGACCUUUACUUUCAACUUUGUGAUACACUUUCAAAGAGUCGGAUUGUUUGGGAAUGCAGUCCAAAAUGGGUGGUAAAUUUCAUCUAAAGCUAAAUAUUGGCGAGAGACCGAUAGCGAACAAGUACCGUGAGGGAAAGAUGAAAAGAACUUUGAAAAGAGAGUUAAACAGUACGUGAAAUUGUCAAAAGGGAAGCGUUUGACACCAGUGUUGUUUUUCUGAAAAUCAAUUAAAGAACUGUUUAUGCUAAGUUGCUUAGACUUUAUCAGCUAACUGUUUAGUUUUGAGCUUUUCUUUAAUGCACUUUUCAGUUAACAAGUCAACAUCAAUUUCUUUUGCUGUAAAAAAGCUUGAGGAAGGUGGCUUGAGAUUCGUCUUAAGUGUUUAUAGCCUCUUGCCUAUGCAGUCGGAGAGAUUGAGGUCUGCAGCGUAGAUCCUUCGGGGCUAAAUGCAUUUGUGCUAAGUUAUAGCAUUUUAUAGACAACUUGUUGACUAUGAUUUGUCUUGUAGCUUACUCGCUUAUGUUAUUUUACCUACGCUUAGGAUGUUGAGUAGCGACAUACGCAC
rnacentral:rRNA from 1 species